UUCAAUAAAGGUGGGCUUGGAGAGAGCUCCUCUUGGUUCCUAUGAAAGAAGAGGGGAGAGCAUCAUACAUGCCUGGCCCACAGAUAAUCUCUGCAAAACCUGGAAGGGUUCUUAAAUGUUCUCCUUCAGACAGAACAGAAAACACACUCUCAACUCCACUCCAGGAGGGUUAUAAACUUUCACUUCCAAAUGUGCCAAAACAAAUGUUUUCUUAAAGAGUAACUAGACAUACAAAAUCAUUUUAAUCCUCUCAAUAACUCUGUGAGGCAUGCUGGCAUUAAAGAUCGUGAUGCCCCUUUUUUAUUUGUCUCAGAGCAGCGCUUCUCAAUUGGGAGUGAUUUUGUCCUGCCAGGGGACACUGGCAUUGUCUGGAGACAGUUUCGGUUGUCACAACUAGGAAAGUGCUACCAGCAUCUAGUGGGUAGAGGCCAGGGCUGCUGCCCAACUUCCUACAGUGCACAGGAUAGCACCACCACAAAGAAUGAUAUCAUUCAAAAUAUCAACAGGACCAAGGUUGAGAAACCCUGGUCAAGAGAAUAGGAAUACCACGUUAUCUCAUCACAAUGUAACUAUUCUCAGGACUAGAAAAGCCACAAGCAUCGGCUGAGCUUUGUGGAACACAGUCCACCGCAGACACUGGGAACCUUGAAGUUUGCAGUAAGGUACGGGAACACUGACACAGGUCCCCAGUGAGUCACACAGGCCUCUCACCUGGGGUGAAACCAAUGGGAAAAAAAGGCAGGCUGGGAAGAGACGAUCAUGAGGCAGACAGAACCAGGAGAUAGGAGCUAUGAAGGGAAGGGAGAAGGGGAUGGAGGGGAAAGGUGACUGAUGCAGAGCAUGGCAUGUGGCAAGUGGGAAGUUGUUAGUGCCCUCCCUCAGGGAGCAGAGUGAGAAGGGGUGUUGGUAGACACAGGCAGAUGGUAAGCAGGCAAGAGGAGAUGGAUGACAGGGCCAGCCCGCUG